AAAAAAACACGUGAGUAACCUGCCCUUGACUUUGGGGUAACUUCAGGAAACUGGGGCUAAUACCGGAUAGGAGCUCCUGCUGCAUGGUGGGGGUUGGAAAGUUUCGGCGGUUGGGGAUGGACUCGCGGCUUAUCAGCUUGUCGGUGGGGUAGUGGCUUACCAAGGCUUUGACGGGUAGCCGGCCUGAGAGGGUGACCGGCCACAUUGGGACUGAGAUACGGCCCAGACUCCUACGGGAGGCAGCAGUGUGGAAUAUUGCACAAUGGGCGGAAGCCUGAUGCAGCAACGCCGUGUUUGUUAAAUGAG
rnacentral:rRNA from 1 species